rnacentral:tRNA from 1 species
GCGGGCGUAACUCAAUGGUAGAGUGACAGCCUUCCAAGCUGUAUGUUGCCGGUUCGAGUCCGGUCGCCCGCU